GACGAACGCUGGCGGUAUGCUUAACACAUGCAAGUCGAACGAACAAAAUUGGGGCUUGCUCCAAUUUUAGUGAGUGGCAAACGGGUGAGUAACACGUGGGAAUCUACCUAUCAGUACGGAAUAACAUUUGGAAACAGAUGCUAAUACCGUAUAUUCUCCAAGGAGGAAAGAUUUAUCGCUGAUAGAUGAGCCCGCGCAAGAUUAGGUAGUUGGUAGGGUAAUGGCCUACCAAGCCGACGAUCUUUAGCUUGUCUGAGAGGAUGAUCAGCCACACUGGGACUGAAACACGGCCCAGACUCCUACGGGAGGCAGCAGUGGGGAAUAUUGGACAAUGGGCGAAAGCCUGAUCCAGCAAUACCGCGUGAAUGAUGAAGGCCUUAGGGUUGUAAAGGUCUUUUAGUUGGAAAGAUAAUGACGGUACCAACAGAAAAAGCCCCGGCUAACUCCGUGCCAGCAGCCGCAGUAA
rnacentral:rRNA from 1 species